CUCUUCCAAGCAUCGCGUCUCUGAGCAAAGAUCGGCGGAAAUAGCGUGGACGUCGUUCCCUCUUCCUACAUCCAUGUAAUCGUCGAUCAAAUUCGAAGAUAUCUUCGUGCCAGAAAAUGGAAUUCGAUGUGCGUUCGCCCACCAGUCUGGCGCCCAGAGUCUUUUCAGAAAAGCUUCAAAACGGAUGAUUUCGAGAUCUUCCGAGAGAAGAAAAUCUUUGGGUAGAGAGAAAAUUUUUGACAACAGGAGACAUUUCUCUCUUCGCCAAAUGCGAUGGGACAAUGCGAAGCUGAAAGAAUGUGUCUUCUACGUUUCCGGUGUGCAAGGAGGAAGUUAGAGAGAGAAAGAGAGAGAGAGAGAGAGAGAGAAGUUCGUCACGGAGGCUCGUAAGCAACGAUACGUGGGUAAACUUGGGGAAGACGCAUCGCACAUUUCUCUACCUAGAGGAGACAAUGGCCUUAAAAAAGUGCGGCGGCAUAAGAUAGGCACAUUCGUGAUCUACCCUGUAGAUCCGGGCUUUUGUAGAAUUGUAAAUAUCAGAAGCUCGUCUCUACAGGUAUCUUACGGAUGACAUGCCACGCGACUCUAGAUUGCAAUGCAUGGCGACGCGUUCUGUGCUUUUGAACGAUCUCACGAGAAGAUUACCUUAGAUUUAGAAACAAGUCGCCAGCUACAUACAUGUCACCCGCAAGCGAUUCAUAGCUGUUCGAACGAGAAAAUAAGCGCGAUACUGAGUCAUAGCUUAUGCGACGUUAGACAGUACAUCCUAGAUGUUACAUGAAAUAUUCUAUUAUUAAUUAGUGUAUAUUCGUUGGUAUAAGCUGUGAUGUUGACAAGCUUAGGUGUAUAAUUAUUUUUAGGUAUUAAGGUUAGAUAAGAUAGAAUAUAGU